UUGAUUAUUGGGAAUAUGGAAAUUCAAACGAAAUUAAGUAGUAAUAUUCAUGAAAAUGUUAUUUAACUUUAUCGUUCAUCAAAAGAUUUGCAAGAAAAUUUAUAAAUUUUUCAUUAGCAAUCUCGAUAAAGAUUUAUUAAUGGAAUACUACUUAUAACAGAUGCAUAAUUACUAUUACAUUAUUUAUUUCAAAAAUAUAUCAGAAAGUUUAUAUCUGAAAGUUCAGAAUAUUCAAUUAUUGAAAUUUUUUUGUAUAUGAUAAUAAUUAUAAUCAUCGAACAUGUGAAUAUGUUUCAGUUUUUGUUACGAAUCCACAAAAAAUUAUAAUCUUUUUAUUUGUUUAUGGAAAAUUAUAUUAUUGAUGGAGUGCCAACAUUAGAUUUUGAUUAUUAAAUUUAAGUAUUUUUCUUAAUAUUAAAGUGUAAAAUAGUAUAUUAGAAUUCAUUUGAUCGUUAUGAAAAAAUAUAGAAUUUUAUAAUGUGAUAUUACAAAACACAAAGAUUAAUUUAAUUAAUUUUCAAAUAAAACUUUGAAAACUUGAGAAAAUUUAAUCGUAUAAAAUUUCUUCUUUGUCUAAUAUCGAUUUUACUAUAUAAUUAGAAAUAUAAAAAUUAAUAACAUAGUUCAAUCAGUAAGUUCUUUAAUUAGAAGAAAGCUACUUAUAGUUUGUAUAGAUAGACUUGUCACUUUAUAAACAAUAUUAGAAUAUUAGAACACCUAUUUCGUGUCACUGUGAUGAUAGAAAUUAAUUCCUUGGUAUUCAGUUAGUCAGUUGUUUGAUAGUCUGCUGCUCGCCUAUAUAGGAUGAGCUUAAAUAACAGAAUGCCAUCUAACUUGAGAUUAAAUAAGGAAUUUUAUUUUAAAUAAGUGAUUUCCGAUAAAUAAACGUGCUUUUUAGAAAUUUAUUACUGAGAAAGUACGUACAAAUUAAUUCUAGCCAAUUUAUAUUCCUAUUUUUUCUUUAUCCUGUGAAUUGUAUAAUAUUAGGUUGAGUAAUCAGUUGUCUCUUUUUUAAAAUGUUAUUAAUAUCAACUACUGUGAAUAAAAGUACAAAUCAGAUUAUAUAUUUAUAUUAGAUAUGAUAAAAAUUAUUACAAAAUUGUUAAAAUUAUUAUUAAUUUUUUUUACUUAUUUAAAACAAAAAAUAAAUGAAUUAAUUAUCUAAUAUACUAAUAAUUUACACAAAAAAAUAAUUAAUUAAAUAAAUUUUAUAUAACACUUUCAAAUUUUUAAGGAAAUGCAGACAAACUUAUUACUUGAUCUAAUAUCUGAAUAGAGAGAAGAAAUAUAUAUAUAUUAAAUAUUUUAGUAUUGAAAUUUUCUAGUCUUUAUUCAUCGACAAAAUGAAGGUUUCAUUUCGGUAUUUAGUCUUGUACUACGCGUCUAGUCUUUUGUACAAUAGUCGAGAAUGAUUUGGACUGGAAUCGCAUUGGAACUUGAGAAGUUCCAUGGAUAGUCGGUAGUUUAUACGUAGUUAAACAUCGAGUUUCAUGAAUGGAUAAACGUGGAAAGAGACAGUUCGUAUAAUAGAUUACAGUAUACCUUGUGUACUCGAAUCUGGCGUGUUUUGAUUUGUUAGAUCUUGGUAUUUAUAUAUAUAUUUGGUGUUACACUGUUUAGAGAAUUUCUAUGAAGCUUUAAUAGUUAAAUUUAUAGGUGUUAAGUCUCGAAUCUAAAUUGGAAUUUCAGUUUCUCGAAUUAUUUAUAUAUUUAUAUUUUGAGUGGAUAUUAAUUUUUUUAUUGAUAUUAAGAAAUAAAUUAUUAUUAAGUGAUCAAGUUAAAUACUAGAUAAAAAAAAAGUAUAAUUAAUAUCAUUUUAUUUUUAUUUAAUAAAGCUUGUUGAUAUUAUUAUAUUAAUUUGAAAACUGUGAGAUUUUAUUAUGUACUAUUAAAAACUAUUUUAUAUUUAUUUUUAAAAUUGUAUUUCAAGAUUUUCUUUCAAUUUUAUAAUACAUAUUAUAUUUUAAACAAUUUACAUAUAUACUUUAUAUAAAUAUUUUUAUUUCAUUUCUAGAAUGAAAUCUAUAAAAUAAUUAAAUUCAUAAAAAUUUAUAUGCUUCACAUAUAAAGUAAUUAAAUAUAAAUUAUUGGAAUCUAUUUCCUAUUUUAUUUAGAGAUUUUUGCAUACAUUAUAAUAUUAUAUGUUGUAUAAAACAAAGAAGUUAAUUAUUAGAAGUCAACGAUAGAUUAUGUUUAAUAAUAGAAUUUAGUAAUGUGAAUAUUUAAUUGCUUAAUAAAUUUCCUAAAUUACAGGAAAUUGAAUCGAUUAGAGAAAUUUAAAUAUUUCAAAUAUAGAAUUAGAUUUUGAAACAUAAAAAAAAUAUAUAUAUAUAUAAACUUAUGAUAUUACAUCCUAUUAUAAUAAUAUAUAUAUUCGUACCUGAACAUUACAAUCCCGUAAUAAUUGUCUUCAAUUUGAGAAUUCGUAGUUAAUUUUUCUUUCUAAUGCUUUUUAGAUUGUAAUCAACUAUUAAGCUUUGUACCUUUGGAAUUGGGUGAGCUAAGAAGUAAUUUCCAAUUUUUCUCUAAAUGUAUUUUUCGAAUAUUUUCUAAUAUUUAUUAAAUUUUUUUUUAUGUAGACAUAAUAAAUGUUUAAGAUAAGCAAAUAUAGUCGUUUCUCUUAAAAAUUCUGCAACCAGGGUAAUAUAUCUUUCUUAAUAAUAUUUCAAGAGGAUAAAAAGUCGAACCUUUCUAAAAAGAAUCCUCCGUCCAAUAGUUUUAAAAAAAAACUUAAUGUAAAUAAUAAUUAUUAGUUGAUGCCUAGAAUAUAAAAAAAAUUAAUGUUCUACAAAAAUUUUUAUCAUGUUUGAAAAUUAUCAUUUUUUUUUUUACUUAUAAAAUAGUAAAUUUGUUUUCUUCAUCAUUUUUUGAGUAAUCAUUUUUAUAGUAGUAUAUGUAUAGUGCAUAAACGUAUAAUUUAUAUAAAUUUUUAAAUUACAAAUAAGAAUUAUUGGAAAUUACUUGUAGUUUUGCCUAAUACUUUCAAUUGAUAUUAGAUAAUUUUUAUGCUCUAGGAAUAAAGUUCUAACUAAUAAAUAUGAAUUUCAUGAACCAAUGGUUACUAAGAAAUGAAUUUAAAGGAAUUACAUCGAAUUUCAAUGUACUUGAAUUGCUGAAAGAAUCGAAACUGGGUCAAACACUGGAUAGUUAAUGCAAAAGAUCGUUGUUCAAUUUUGAUAUCUUCAAAAUUUCUACGAAAGUGUUCAUUCAUGAAUCAUUCAUUAAUCAGAUUAUGAAAUUUGAUUUCUUAAAAUAAUAUCAGAUACUUUCGUGCACUAAGUCCUUUUAUCCCGUAAUAAUAUUCAAUUAUAAAAAAUAUUCUCUGCGAAAAUAUCAUUAUUAAAAAAUAAUUUUAUCAAAGUUUCGUACAUUGGUAAAAAUACAUUCACAAAUUACGUUCAUUUUACAUUAACUUUUUUAUAAAUAUAUCUUUUUAAAUAUAAAUUUAGAUUAAACGAAAUAGUUUUUAAAUCAUUUCUUUAAUGACUCAAAAUAAAACAUCAUCUAUUAAUUUUAUUUAAAAUUAAUCACUAUCAAACGAAAAUUAUCAAAAAUUAUGUUGCGUUUUUAAUAAAUUAAAAAGAUAUUAGAGCAAUUACAUAUAUUAAGAAAUAAUAUUUUUUUAAAUCAAUAAUAAACGCAGAGGAUAUAAAGAGUGAAAUUAACUGUAAAAUGAGGUAUCUAACACGAAGUAACGUUAUAAAUUCAUUAGAGAAAGUACGUGCGGAACGUGAAGCAAGAUGCAGAUUUUUUGAAAUUAAGCCAACCAGGAUUUAAUUGAGCCAUUUCUACCCCUACAAAUGAGGUUUUCAGUUACCUGCUAACGAACUCUGAAAAGAACGUAGCUGAAUACAAUGUUUUUUCUACUUUUUUUUUCAAUGUUUUUACGAAGUCUUGACCUCGCUAUAAGAUACCAUUUUUGUCCAUCUUGGUAAAAAAGUUUUUCCAGGAUAAUUAUUUUUAAUAAUAAUCGUAUGAUUUAUUAAACGGAGCCGAUAAUUAAAGGUUUUCACUGAUUUCUUUGCCUACAUAUAUACAAUACAUACACACAGAUAUAUAAUCAAAAAUUAUUAUACACUUAAUACACUUAAACACAAAGACACUUAAGUCAUAUAACCAAUUUCUUAUACCUAUAUUGAAGCUUAAUUUACUGUUUCACGUAUCGGAGAGAGAAAUUUUGCUUAAAAAUAAUUAUGAUAGUUUUUUUCGUUUUUUUUUUUUGCAUUGUCCGGAUAUAAUUUUAAUUUUAAAAAUUAUUUAUUAUAUUUCGUUUCUUUCUCUGUAUUUGAACAGUAUAUGUAUAAAUACAAAAAAUAUUCAUUUUUCAGCUUAAUAUAGAUAUUAUUUCAAUAUCCAAUGAACUCUCGACAAGAGAGCUUUGUUUUUAUCAUUUAAUUAUCAAGGAAUAAUCCGUUUCUUUAUUUGCAAUUAGAUAAAUGCAAAGUGAAACAUACUUUGCAAUUACAAAUUUUACAUAAUGCUUUCACUUAAUAAUAUAAAUAUUAAUCUGCAAAUUACCAUUGUUUUAAUUUAUAUUGGAACAACCAGAUCGUGAAUUUGCCACUUAAUUAAAUAUUCCGUGAAAUUGAAAGUAGUUUUUCAAAAAAAAAAAAAAAAAAAAGAUGCUAUUUAAUGCUGAUUAUUUAAUUAUCAUAUUUUUAUGCUUUUUUCUUUUUGCAUAUAUAUAUACAUAUAUAUAGAUAUUAGAUACAUUUAAUUGAAUAAAUAACAUAUAUAUAGUAUAGAAUUUUAAACACACAUAUAUACACACACAUAUACAUAUAGAACAUAAACACGAUUUAUCCCUUCUCCUCUUUUGCUUCAAAUAUACAUAUGCUCACAUAUGUAUAUAUUUAUACGUAGAAUAUAUAUAUUCGUCAUUUAAUAUGUUCGUUUCGAACAGUACGGAUGAAAGUAAUUUUGCGAUGACGAAAUAUGUGAGGGAAGAAAGUAAUUUCUUUUUUAAAAAUUUCAUCACAACAAUGUCGAUUCUGGGUAAAUUGAUGUUUACAUUAAUACAAACAAUAUUAAAUAUUAAUUAUAAUUUGAAUAAUUAUUGAAAUUAUUAAAUUAUACAAAGCACGUAAUAAUUUUUAAUAUUAAAUGUUUUUGAUUAUUUAAAAUAAUUGUUUGAUCAUAUGUAAUAUUUAUUUCGAUUAUAUGCUAAUAUGCUAUUCUUGGUAUUAAAUAUAAAUUUAUAUAUAAAUAUAUAAUUUUAAUGCACGAUUACGUUUCGAAAAAAAUUUGAAAUUUUUUUUCUUUUUAAGUCUUUCAUUAAUUUUUAAAUAGGUGUAACAUUUGUUUCUCCCACAUAUGUAGAUGUAAUCAAAUUUUUGAUAGAUAUUAUAUAAAAUAGUGAAAAAAAAGUGAAAUUAAUAGAAAUAAUACCCAGCAUCGCAUGAUAUACAUUAUUUUAAAAAUUAUUCUAUGUUAAAUCACUAAGUUAAAAUGCUUCAUAGUCUUCCUAGAUUUAUCUCACAAUUUGUAGCAUUUGUCGAUAAUUUCGACAACAUAUAGAUUAUACAAGAAUUCAGUCAAUUUUUAUAAGAAAUUUUAAAAAAAAAUUUAAGAAUUUUCAAUUAUUGUUUAUAAUUAUUAGAAUUAUUAAUAUUAUUGUAUAUAAAAGAAUAUGUUACAUAAUAUUAUUAUUAAUAAUAAUUAGAUUACUUGUUAAUAAUAAUAUUUUAACAAGGAAAAUUGAUUAAUCAUUUAAUUUGUGUGAUAUAAAGAGACUCUAAAAUUAAAUUUAAUUAAUUAAAAAUUUUUUUAAUUUACGGAUAAAUGCUGCAAACUCAAAGGAUAUUAAAGAAGCUAUGAUGCCAAUUAACGUGUGAUUUAUCGUAGAAUAACAUGCAAACAGGGAGCGACGUGAUUCAUAGUAUAUAUCCAUAAAGAGUGAUUUUCUCAAAAAUAAGUAGAAAGUGUAAAAUACUUUUUAUCCGCACAAAAUUUCCUUUUCAAAAAAAAAAAAAAAAAAUCUCCACAAUUUUCCCUACAAAAACCAUCGUCAUAUUUCGUUCUGAAAAACGAGCCAUAUAUCACAUUUAAUAAAGUAAUUUGACACGCUGACUAAUGGUUCCAAGCUUGAUUAAGUAAUAAAUAAUCCUAUACUUUUUUCUCCUUGAUAAAUAUUUAUUGCUCAACAAAGCAAAUCUAUUUCCAAUUUAGGAAACAGUGAUAAAUUAUUGAUUUAAACAAAACCAGAAUCUUCAAUCAGAACAAUAGUUUACACGAGAACUUAUCUAGAAUUUAUUGUUAGCCAAGAUUGAUCUUCAAAGUGUGUCGUUUAUCUGGGAAAAAAAAAAAAAGGAAAAUAAUAUUUUAUAUUUUCGACUUAUUUUAUGGGGAAAAAUCACUUUCUCUUCUUAAUAUCACAGAAUACGUCUCGCCUUGUUAUAAACAAAACGCAUAGAAGUGCAAACAAGAAAUUCGCGAACGUGGAGUUUAUUAAUUUUUAACUCGUUAACUAUAUCUUGAUUGGCUGUGAAUCGAAGAUUCACGGAUGUUUAACAUCAAGACAGUCGACAAGAAAAUAUAUUCGGAUACAAAAUUUUGUAUUACGACGAAUUUCGAAAUUUGCGCCUUGUUUCAUAUCAUUUGCAAAGCAACGAAACGACUAAACAGGGACGACCCCCGUUUGCUAGAAGAUAAUUAAGUGCGAUCCCAUAGUUUGUACUUGUGAUAUUUGACAAACAGAAAAAAAUACAAGGAAGAGGAAGAAUAAGAAAAAAAAAAAAAAUCAAAGAAAUGGCGAAAAGAAGGCAAAGUUCAGUAGUCGAGCGGUGUAACAAAACGCUUUGGUCGGCGCUUUCGAGUCCACGGCGCGUUUGCAUGUCUCUUCUUUCGAAUCCUUCUAUAUAUUUCUCUCAUUCUCUCUGUUCUUUCUUUACGUAUUUAAGGAUGCGUCCCAUUUCACUUGACCAUUUUGAGAAUUAUAUCAAAAUGAAAUCGUUGGGAAGAAUAUUCAAUAGAACAGAAGAUUCCUCUUAAAAGUUUUCAAUUUUCAUGAGAAUUAUUAAGGAUUAUUCAAUUUCGUCUCCGUGACGCGUUAUAAAAUAAAAAAAAAUUAUUCAAAUAAUCAUUCUUUCGAUUAUUAUUUCUCUAUGAGAGUCAAUGAGUUAAGUAAAGUGGGACAAUCUGUCUACAUCUCUCUCACUCUGUCGUCCCCUUAAAUAUUCUUAUACUAUAUUUCUCUCUGUUUCUUUUAUCUCCUCAUCUCUGUCUCUAUCUCUAUCGCUGUCUCUAUCUGUUUUAUUUUUCAUUUAUCCUUUAACGGCGGGUUGAUCACUUCGUUCUGGUAGACAGUAAUAUAUUAUUGCGAACGAGUUUCGUAAGGAAUGCACCUUUCGUUACAACAUGUGUUGGAAUGUUGUUUGUUGUUUUUUGUCGUAAAGAAGCUUUUGUUACACCCCUCAUUAUACCCUCACCUGCAUGAAGGAUAUCUUUGCAAACGUUAAAGCUUUCCUUUCUGACCGGUAUAUAUUAUAUAUAUAAAUAUAUAUUAUAUUUAUAAUUUUAUUGCAUCGUGAUUUUAAUUAAUGCAUACACUGUGCAAUCUCUCUCGAUCUUGAUCGUUCGAUCGAUUGAAAUAACGGGAAUUAUCUUCGACUUUCCCGAUCAUAUUAAUUUCCUGCACGACAUGAUGCAUAAUCGAAUUGGUGAUUGAAUCUUUCUUUAUAUAUAUAUAUAGAAGAAUAUUUUUUAGUUCACUGAUAUAGUCACUUUUUAUUUUAAACAGUUAUAUUAUAACAGAUUAUAUUAUAUAAUGAUGUUUAAUUUAAAUAUAAUUAAUUUAUUUUGAAAUUUUAAAUAAAUUAGAAUAAUUGUAAUAUUUUGAAGAGUGUCAUAUAUAUAAUUUUGAAAAACAUUUUAAUGUAAAGAAAAAAGUGAAGAAAAUUGAUUAAAAUAUAUUAAAAAUCAUUGUAAUAAGAAUAUAAAUUCUUGAACGAAAACUUAGAUUCUAGUAAAUUAAACUUAUUUAUCUUGUAAUAAAUCGAAUUUAUUCUAUUUUUAAAGAAAAAUUUUUCCAUAUGUAUAAAAAUAGAUUAAAAAUCAAAAUUACAAUCACCGAUUCGGAAAAGUAGUGCAAUUUUAUUUAUUUAUUUAUUUAUUUAUUUUGGCAUAAACACUCGAGUAAAGUAGAAAUAUCUCUGUUCUAUCUGAAAUCAUGCAACACGCGUCUAAUCAUCAUGAUCAUCUCGCAUCCUCAUCACGAGCGGAUUCUCCUUGCUCAGAAGUUUGCACAACGAAGUUGUCACCGAAUCUGCAAAUAUCUCUGAACAUGCAGCUGAGGGUAGCCGAAUACGAUGAAUCUUACGUUCUCUCUUCACAUCGAUUAUGUUUCGUAUAUUCGUAUAUUAAUCUCAGGGAAUUCGAUCAAUGCGGAUGCAACAACAACGAUUCCUGUAAACAGAAUAAUUGUAAUUGUAAAAGCUCUAUGUUUCUCGUAUCUCAAGAAAUAAUAGGUAAUCGUUAAUUGUCAAGCAAUAUCCGAUAAUCUUGAAAAUAGUUUCUUGAUCGAUUGAAUUAACGUUUCUUUUGAUCUCAUUUUGAUCUCUUAUUUGUACAUGCAUGGAAUUUGUACAAGAGAACUUCGAUAAUUUUUUUAUUGGUACGCGAUGGAAUUCGAUGGGUCGAAUAUUAGGCAAAUUUUCCUUUUUUGAAUUGUCAUUUUAAAAAUUGAUUAAGAUGAAUUUAAUAUUAUUUUAAGCAUAGAUAAGUUCCUCUUUUUAAAUUUACAAAUAGUAUAAAUGUAUUAUUAUAUAUUUUUCAGAAACAAUAUAUACAAUAUAUAUCAAUAGAAAAUCAUUUUCAUUUAUGUCACUUACUAUUUUAUUUCAAAAUAUUAUAUUUAUAAAUACAUAUACACAGUUUAUGAUUUAAAAUUAAAAAAACAAUAUUUAAACAAUAUUUUUCAUAUCUUGUUCAUAUGAUUUUUAUUUUCUUAAUUAUAAAUUCAUAUAUAUAAAAUACAAUUGCAUUGUACUUUAUAAUCAGAACAAUUACUUUUUUAAAGAUUUGUGCCUUUAGUUUUAGUUUCCCAUAGUUUUGAAAUUUAUUUCCUAUAGUUUUCCUGCUUGAUAUUGUUACACAUCCUUUUUGAAAAGAAAAGAAUCCAGUGUAGAUUAAAACCAGUGAUUGUCCAAUAUUUACCGAAUUCCAUUACGAACUAGAACGGCCUUCAAAAAGAAUGAAGAUUGGAAUUUUUUUAUUUAUCGAUGUUCCCUUGUGGCAGAAAGUACGAUUAAAAUCCUAAUUUCGCGUUUACGUUUUACGUCUCGAUUUUUGUACAUAGUUUGUACAUGUAUAUAUGCCUCUAUAUGUCGUUUCGAUGUUUGAUCCAGCGGUUUCAUUAUCCAAUACGAAGAGAUUGAAAUCACCACGAGAUGAGGCCGUGUCACUUGCCAUGUGUACAGACGGCUUAAUUGACAGGUUUUGUAAAGUAUUGUAAAUUGUGCCGAGUACAUAGAUACUUACAUAUACAUAUAUAUAUAUAUAUACUAUAUACAUAUAAAUGUUAACACGAAAGUUUAUCGAUUAUUACAUAUGUAAGUAAGUAAACGUGCUAAUGUAAUGGAUUCUCUAUUAUGUACGAUUAUUAUAUCGUUCCGAUAUAUUAUACAAAUCAGCACAAAACAGGUAUUAACUAUUCGCCAAUCUAAUUAAUACAAUCUGAAAUUUUAAUAUUUGUAAAAUUUCUGAAAUUAAAACAUCGAUAGAUUUGAAUCAAAAAAAUAGACAAUUAUAAAAUUCUUGUUUGAUGGUGUUUGGAUACUUUCACACCCAACGACAAUACAAUCGACGUUCUUUAUUAUAAAACUUCUUAAACAAAACUGACCAGGCAAAUUGCAAAAUUAUUAUUAUCAAUAAGAAAGAAAAUCUAAAAAGUAUCCAAUCGUAUUUUGCAAGUACAUGACAUCCAAUCGUUCCUGUUUUGUGCAAAUUAUUUAUUUCCAUAUUAAUUCGAUCCAAGCAAUUCUUAAGCAACCGCGCUUACAGUGCCGAUCUGUAUUUUUACGAGUCCUGUGCAUAUAUAUAUAUAUUCACACCCGCUUGUGAUACGCUUAAGACUAUCUCUGUGAGCAUCAAUGGUGGGCCUUCUCCCCCUCCUCAGCUGGCAUAGCGCAAAGUAACUGUUGCACGCGAAACCAGUACCCAUCAACGGCGGCGAGCAAAACGAGCAGCGGUAUUAUUGCGGCGGUGCAUUGUACGAAGAUAUAAUAAAGCACGAACUGCUGGAA